rnacentral:rRNA from 1 species
UACGUAGGUGGCAAGCGUUGUCCGGAAUUAUUGGGCGUAAGCGCGCGCAGGCGGUCCUUUAAGUCUGAUGUGAAAGCCCACGGCUCAACCGUGGAGGGUCAUUGGAAACUGGGGGGACUUGAGUGCAGAAGAGGAAAGCGGAAUUCCACGUGUAGCGGUGAAAUGCGUAGAGAUGUGGAGGAACACCAGUGGCGAAGGCGGCUUUCUGGUCUGUAACUGACGCUGAGGCGCGAAAGCGUGGGGAGCAAACAGG